GAUGAACGCUAGCUACGGGCUUAACACAUGCAAGUCGAGGGGUAACGAGAGGAAAGCUUGCUUUCCUUGUCGACGACCGGCGCACGGGUGAGUAACGCGUAUCCAACCUGCCCCCAACUAAGGAAUAACCUUGCGAAAGUAAGACUAAUACCUUAUAAUUUCCUCAGAUGUCAUCUGACGAGGAAUAAAGAUUUAUCGGUUGUGGAUGGGGAUGCGUCUGAUUAGCUUGUUGGCGGGGUAACGGCCCACCAAGGCAACGAUCAGUAGGGGUUCUGAGAGGAAGGUCCCCCACAUUGGAACUGAGACACGGUCCAAACUCCUACGGGAGGCAGCAGUGAGGAAUAUUGGUCAAUGGGCGGAAGCCUGAACCAGCCAAGUAGCGUGCAGGAUGACGGCCCUAUGGGUUGUAAACUGCUUUUAUACAGGAAUAAAGUUAGCCACGUGUGGUUAUUUGUAGGUACUGUAUGAAUAAGGACCGGCUAAUUCCGUGCCAGCCGCCGCAGUAAAAC
rnacentral:rRNA from 1 species